UUCUAGAAAAGAGAGAGAUAAGAGUAGAGAAAGAACAAAGACUGAAAAACAAGAAAACAGCCCAAAUCAGCCAUAAGGACAGAUUUCUGAAUUUUUCAAGUUCACCGUGCAGUCCUUACCUCAACUGAGGGUGGGCGGCAAGAGUCAACCUUGUUUCCACAGAACAAAUGUUGCUUCUCCCUCCCCGUCGCCAUCCCUGAGUCACCAACUUCACUGUCCCUGCUCACUGAAUGCACUCUGCCAUCAUGCUCACUCCGGUCCCCUUUAGCCUUAGAUCUCCGCCAAGACUGCUGGCUCCAGGCUGCCAGCCACGUGCCUUGGGUACCCUACAAAUUCUGAGACCGGAUCCAAGAACCACACAACACAGAAUGAUACAGGAAUAUGAACCCAAAGGAUGCAGAGUCCCUAACUCAAACCCAGCCCUCAGGGGCCAGCUGUGCUCCAGGGUGCAGGGACAGAGAGACGCAAAGGCAACCCAGGCCGCUGUGGCUCCUGGGGCACACGGCCAGCAGUGGAAGUGGUGUCAGAAAGACAGAUGGAAACCUCCUCGCUGAAUGGGGCUGGGAACCACAGCGGUGGGACCAAGAGAGAGAACAGCUCAGACCUGAGAGUUACGCCUGUGUGUGAUCCAAGCUGUGACGUGUGUUUUAUUCACAGACAUAAAAGCUCAAAAUGAGCAGGUAUGAGGUUAACGUGGAUAAGAUGAGAACAGCUGCACAAGCCCCAAGGAGCACCCAGCAAGUGUCGGCGAAC
rnacentral:lncRNA from 1 species